UAGGGAAUCUUCCGCAAUGGACGCAAGUCUGACGGAGCAACGCCGCGUGAGUGAAGAAGGAUUUCGGUUCGUAAAACUCUGUUGUUAGAGAAGAACAGCGCAUAGAGUAACUGUUAUGCGUGUGACGGUAUCUAACCAGAAAGCCACGGCUAACUACGUGCCAGCAGCCGCGGUAAUACGUAGGUGGCAAGCGUUGUCCGGAUUUAUUGGGCGUAAAGCGAGCGCAGGCGGUCAAUUAAGUCUGAUGUGAAAGCCCCCGGCUCAACCGGGGAGGGUCAUUGGAAACUGGUUGACUUGAGUGCAGAAGAGGAGAGUGGAAUUCAAUGUGUAGCGGUGAAAUGCGUAGAUAUAUGGAGGAACACCAGUGGCGAAGGCGACUCUCUGGUCUGUAACUGACGCAGAGGUUCGAAAGCGUGGGUAGCAAACAGG
rnacentral:rRNA from 1 species